CAGCGUGAGCUCCUCCUUCCCUAGUUCCGUGAGUUAGUCGUCGAGAUGGUUGGUUCGCCGCCGCCGCUCUCUCUUUCUCUGUUACCCAACUCCGGCGCCACCGGCUGCUCGCCCCAUCCAGAAAGCGUAAAGUCCUGACGUAGAUUGACCACCUCCGCCAUCCCCUUCCCCAAUACUGUCUUAGCGGCGGCGGCCUUGGGCCUUCCUCCGUGUGGAUCGAAGAUCGAUGGCGCCAUCCUCUCCUCGCCGCUCGCCUAGGCGGUCAAGCCCAGCAUGCGGUUCCCGGAGCGGUUCCUGGACGUCGUAGCGGCGCGCCGCUCGUGUCGAUUCGGCGAUGGUGCAGGCGGUGGUAGGAGGCCGACAAAAUGGUUCAUCGAGGUCAAAUGGAAGGAGUCGAUGAGAGGCGUCGCCGGCGCGUGUUUCGUGGUCGCCGGCGCUUCCGCUUCUCCUCGGAUUGCCAGCUACAGUGAUUUGUGCUUAAUAAGUGAAGUUAAGUAUAUUUGGAAUUAGUGCCCUUGUUGUUACCACCUGCUUUCCAAUAUGCAGCCUCUGGUGGAUUCAAAUAAAUUGCUUGCUGAGACAAUUUGUAAAGUUGCAGUACAAUGUCAGUUAAGUAUAUUUGGAAUUAGUGCCCUCGUUGUUACAACCUGCUUUCCAAUAUGCAUCCUCUGGUGGAUUCAAAUAAAUUGCUUGCUGAGACAAUUUGUAAAGUUGCAGUACAAUGUCUGUAUAACAAGAGUGGUUGCCAGUGGCAACGAAAUCUGUCUGAAUCCAUCACACGUGGUACUGCUUCCACCUAUGGGAACUCCCCUGUUGUUUGCAACCACUGUGGUACUUAGAUUGUACAUCGUCAAGUGCAAGACCAUGAUCAGCUUUGCCCUUUAGCAGAGCUACCAAGUGGACAAUUGCGAGGUGCUCCAUAUCAUGGUGAGGCAGCAACGAGCUGCGGGGAGGCCGGUGACGAUCGUCUGGAGGGCGACAAUGCGCUGCGGGGAGACCGGUGAUGAGCUGCGCGAGGUCGGCGACGUGCUGCGGGGUGGCCACCGACGAUCUGCUGGAGGAGGCACCACAUCCUGGUCUUAUAUGAUAGUGAGUAUCUGCCGGUGGAGCCGUGGUGCGCGUGGUACACCGGGAAGGAUGGAGUUCCACACCAAGCUGAGAAUCGAGGGUCUUCCAGAGGAGGCAUGAUUGGAAUUUGCUAUGAUUCUCUCCAAUGUUUACUUCAUUUUAUAAUGUUUCGGACUAGCUAUUUUUUUUAUCAAGUUUGGUACUACUAGUGUUUAUUUCAAUUUGUCAAUUCUGUUUGAUUGAGAAAUCUUGUAGCCAAGUUAGUUAUCUUGUUUGAUUCAGAAUACUCUUUAUCUUACUUUUAAAAUAGUUCAGUUGCACAGUGAAACUCGCCA